CAACCUGCGUGUGGAUGAGGAUGAGCUUGACCUGUCUCCUGUCUCAACCCCAAUCCCUGCACCUCAGUACUGGAUUACAGGCAUGUGACACCAUGCCCAGUUGAAACAGAGCUGGAUAUUGAACACAGCAGGGCUUUCUGUACGUUAGAUGGAGACUAUUGUUAAGAUCCACAACUGGGCAGAAUAAAUGACGGACUGUGUGCCAACCCCAA